rnacentral:rRNA from 1 species
AGUCUUUGUAGUAAUACAAGGCAUACGGCUCAGUAACGCGUAGUCAACCUACCCUAUGGACAAGAAUAAUCUCGGGAAACUGAGCAUAAUUCUUGAUAGAUCAUAAUGCCUGGAAUGGUUUAUGGUUAAAAUGAUUCGUCGCCAUAGGAUGGGACUGCGGCCUAUCAGCUUGUUGGUGAGGUAAUGGCCCACCAAGGCGAUUACAGGUACGGGCUCUGAGAGGAGAAGCCCGGAGAUGGGUACUGAGACAAGGACCCAGGCCCUAUGGGGCGCAGCAGGCGAGAAAACUUUGCAAUGUGCGAAAGCACGACAAGGUUAGUCCGAGUGGUUUCUGCUAAAGAGAUCUUUUGCUAGUUAUAAAACCACUAGUGAAUAAGGGGUGGGCAAGUUCUGGUGUCAGCCGCCGCGGUAAAACCAGCACCUCAAGUGGUCAGGAUGAUUAUUGGGCCUAAAGCAUCCGUAGCCGGCUUUGUUAGUUUUCGGUUAAAUCCAUGUGCUCAACGCAUGGGCUGCCGAAAAUACUGCAUAGCUAGGGAGUGGGAGAGGUAGACGGUACUCAGUAGGAAGGGGUAAAAUCCUUUGAUCUAUUGAUGACCACCUGUGGCGAAGGCGGUCUACCAGAACACGUUCGACGGUGAGGGAUGAAAGCUGGGGGAGCAAACCGGAUUAGAUACCCGGGUAGUCCCAGCUGUAAACGAUGCAGACUCGAUGAUGCAUUGGCAUAAUAGCCAGUGCAGUGUCGCAGGGAAGCCGUUAAGCUGCCGCCUGGGAAGUACGUACGCAAGUAUGAAACUUAAAG